rnacentral:lncRNA from 1 species
UUGGUGAUAUCACGUGAGGGAUUAAUAUAAUUUUGGAUUUUUGUUGUAAUUUUUUUAAUUAAGAGAUUGAAUUUUCAUAUUGGAAGAUAAAAAAAAACUAUAAAAUGAAUCAGUAUUCUUCUCAUGCAUAUAAAAGAAAAUUAUUUUUUUUGAAUGUGAGAAUUUCAUGGAGUUCUGAAUAACUUAAAUAUGGUAUUAUAAGAAUAAUUUGUGACGAUUAAUAUCACUCAAUUUCUCACUUUUUCUAGUGUUUGAUCAAUAUCCUUCACCACAAAAAUGAUGUUACAAUACUGCUUACGAUUAUGUCAUUGACACUUCCCCACUUUCAUGUUCUCUAGUACCAUUAUGUCAUUGACACUUCUCCACUUUCAUGCUCUCUAGAGUUGUUUAUCUCCACCACCAUUCUAACAUCUUCCAUCUUCAUUGCUUUUGUAAACCCUAGACCACUAAAAACAUUUGUAAUUAUCUGCUAUAAUAAGUCAUAAAUAUCAAAGAAUUCGGAUGGAUGACUAUAUAAAUUUUUAAUCCAACAUUCGUUGUCAUCAAUAACAAUUAUGAAUAAUAUGAUAAUCUUUACUAAUGAAUGACUUGUAAAACAUAUAAUCAAUUUAAAAGUCCCCACCUAAGAGAGAUAUAUAAAGACCUUACCCUUUAGAAAGUACAAUUUAUCUUAUUAUCUUAUUCUAUAUUCUUAACUCUUAUAAUGUUAAACACUUUAUUAUCAUUUUUGUAUUUCUCCUACCUUAAGCAUAAAAGAGUCUUUUUCAAGUAGAUCUUCCCUUUUUUUAAAAAUCAACUGAAAGUUAAUUUCCUAAAACAUCGAGUACUCGUCAAGACAGUUCCGAAUUCAUUUCCGGUAGAUGCUAAUCUUAAAAACAAUCUUUGUUGCAUCAUCCAAUGAAUGCUUAUCAACCACCACUUCAACUUUAGCGAUUAGGUUUGACUUUAUCUUCACCUCUAUUGUCAGCAAACGGUCAAACAUCAAACUUCCUGGAAACUUGCCUCUAACUACUCGGCCCCUUCAAUGCAUCGGAUAAUGGCUUAUGAACUCCAUCUCCCACCAAAUGUCGGGCACACAACAUUAGUUUUAGAACGACCAAAUGUAUGUUCACUUUCUACAUCACUUGCCAACAAAUGGAAAAUCUCUACUACUUUCAACAUCCAUUGCAUCUACCUUAAUCAUACAACCAAAGUAAAACUUUGAAAAUAAUUUAAGUAGAAGGUGUUUUUUCUAGUAAUGACAUCUUGAGCAUCUUCAGCCCUGUUCUCACACCUUCAACAUCUCUGCACCUUGAACAAUUAAACUAAAUGUUUUUGGUGAAACACUAAUAAUUAUACCUUGAGUUACACAAAAAAUAAAUACAAAAAUAUUUUAAGUAAAAUAUUAGAUGUAUGUUUCAAACUAUAUAGAAAU